rnacentral:rRNA from 1 species
UGGGGGAUAUUGCACAAUGGGCGAAAGCCUGAUGCAGCGACGCCGCGUGGGGGAUGAAGGCCUUCGGCUUGUAAACUUCUUUUGCUCAGAACAAGGCGCACCAUGGGGUGUGUUGAGUGUAGGGGUUGAUUAGCGCCGGCUAACUACGUGCCAGCAGCCGCGGUAAUACGUAUGGCGCGAGCGUUGUCCGGAAUUAUUGGGCGUAAAGGGCUUGUAGGUGGCUGGUUGCGUCUGUCGUGAAAGCUCAUGGCUUAACUGUGGGUUUGCGGUGGGUACGGGCUGGCUUGAGUGCAGUAGGGGAGGCUGGAAUUCCUGGUGUAGCGGUGGAAUGCGCAGAUAUCAGGAGGAAUACCGGUGGCGAAGGCGGGUCUCUGGGCUGUUACUGACACUGAGGAGCGAAAGCAUGGGGAGCGAACAGG